rnacentral:lncRNA from 1 species
GGAGGUGGUAUUGAUAGUCAUCCUUGUCCCUCUAUAUGAUUCCACAUUAGAAGUUUCUUCAUGAUUCAGACAAAACUGUCCUAACAGCAAUUGUUCUGUGGUUUGUUUGUUCAUCUCAGCAGAGGACUGCAUUGAGCCUCUGGACUUCCCUUUCCCACUUGCCUUUUCAAGAAGUCAGCAAACUUUUUCUACAAAAGGCCAGGUAGAAAAUAUUUUAGACUUUGCAGGACACAUGUGAUCUCUGUAACUUAUUUCUGUUAGUCUUUCUGGUUUUUAAGUGUUUUAUUUGCUUAUUUUUCUAAGAGUUGGACUUCCAUUUACCAUACCCAAGGUGAUCUCCCUGUUGCAACAAGGAGAAGAUCACUGGAAGGCAGAGAAAGAAAGGCUUGGAGACUCUGCUCUUGGUGAAAAUACACCUGACUCCAUCCAUUGACUUCUAUAAGAAAUUAGCCUUGGACUGUUCUGGUCAACAGGUAGCUGUUGACUUAUUCCUUCUCAGUGGACAGUAUUCUGAUUUGGCUUCUCCGGGACCUUGAGAAGUUAGAGAAAAGCUGAGUGAAAUGCCUGCAGUUACUUUGGUGUGGUAAUAGUAGCAUCAUUUAAAAGGAGUUUGUGGGAGUGUCAGAAGGAGGAGCAUUUGGGGUUGGGAACCAGCAGGAGUCUGGAGGAUGAGAGGGACUUCCUGUCUCUGCCCAAUGUCAACCCAGAUGCCAGGUAUACAGUACAGAUGUCAGCGGAAAAGAGUCUUCCUGACAUGCAGUUGGGUUCUUUUUCAGUCAGCACUCUUGUAUACAUCAAGCAAAGGUGAAAGAAGAAUACUAUCCGUACUUUGUGUUUGCCAGUAGUUUCAACUCUGAAUGCAGUCUUUCUGGAAGCUGAUGUUCAAGCAAUUUCAGGGUUAUUGGCCAAUAUGGGUAAGAGUGGAUAUCACUUGUAAAUAUUUUACAAGUAAAACCAUUAAGCAAAUUCACA